rnacentral:rRNA from 1 species
UGAGUAACACGUAUCCAACCUGCCGUCUACUCUUGGACAGCCUUCUGAAAGGAAGAUUAAUACAAGAUGGCAUCAUGAGUCCACAUGUUCACAUGAUUAAAGGUAUUCCGGUAGACGAUGGGGAUGCGUUCCAUUAGAUAGUAGGCGGGGUAACGGCCCACCAAGACGAUGAUAGGUAGGGGUUCUGAGAGGAAGGUCCCCCACAUUGGAACUGAGACACGGUCCAA